AGAGUUUGAUCCUGGCUCAGAACGAACGCUGGCGGCAGGCUUAACACAUGCAAGUCGAACGCCCUCUUCGGAGGGAGUGGCAGACGGGUGAGUAACACGUGGGAAUCUACCUAUCUCUGCGGAACAACACAUAGAAAUGUGUGCUAAUACCGCAUACGCCCUUAGGGGGAAAGAUUUAUCGGUGAUAGAUGAGCCCGCGUUUGAUUAGCUAGUUGGUGAGGUAAUGGCUCACCAAGGCGACGAUCAAUAGCUGGUCUGAGAGGAUGAUCAGCCACACUGGGACUGAGACACGGCCCAGACUCCUACGGGAGGCAGCAGUGGGGAAUAUUGGACAAUGGGCGCAAGCCUGAUCCAGCCAUGCCGCGUGUGUGAUGAAGGCCCUAGGGUUGUAAAGCACUUUCAACGGUGAAGAUAAUGACGGUAACCGUAGAAGAAGCCCCGGCUAACUUCGUGCCAGCAGCCGCGGUAAUA
rnacentral:rRNA from 1 species